rnacentral:rRNA from 1 species
UACGUAGGGUGCAAGCGUUGUCCGGAAUUAUUGGGCGUAAAGAGCUCGUAGGCGGUUUGUCGCGUCUGCUGUGAAAACUCGAGGCUCAACCUCGGGCCUGCAGUGGGUACGGGCAGACUAGAGUGCGGUAGGGAGAUUGGAAUUCCUGGUGUAGCGGUGGAAUGCGCAGAUAUCAGGAGGAGCACCAAUGGCGAAGGCAGAUCUCUGGGCCGUAACUGACGCUGAGGAGCGAAAGCGUGGGGAGCGAACAGG